rnacentral:rRNA from 1 species
CAAUAGCGUAUAUUAAAGUUGUUGCAGUUAAAAAGCUCGUAGUUGGAUUUGUGGCGUACGGUGUGUUCCGGGCACUUGUUGUCUGAGUAACCUGCUGUUGCCAUCCUUGGGUGGAACCUGUGUGGCAUUAGGUUGUCGUGCAGGGGAUGCCCAUCAUUUACUGUGAAAAAAUUAGAGUGUUCAAAGCAGGCUUAUGCCGUUGAAUAUAUUAGCAUGGAAGAAUGAGAUAGGACUUUUUUGCUAUUUUGUUGGUUUGCGCAAAGAGGUAAUGAUUAAUAGGGACAGUUGGGGGUAUUCGUAUUCCAUUGUCAGAGGUGAAAUUCUUGGAUUUUUGGAAGACGAACUACUGCGAAAGCAUUUACCAAGGAUGUUUUCAUUAA